CCUGGAUUUGCCCCGUAGGCCCGGCCCGGGCCCCUCGGGAGCAGAACAGCCUUGGUGAGGUGGACGGGAGGGGACUUCGCGAGCAGACGCGCGCGCCAGCGACAGCAGCCCGCCCCGGCCUCUCGGGAGCCGUGGGGCAGAGGCUGCAGAGCCCCAGGAGGGCCGGAGCCCUCAUGACUUCAGUGACCUGCUUCUGCCCCUCUAGGUCUAUCAGCCACAGUCUCUGCAAGUUUCCAAGAGCAGCAGAAAAUGAACACAUUGCAGGGGCCAGUGUCAUUCAAAGAUGUGGCUGUGGAUUUCACCCAGGAGGAGUGGUGGCAACUGGACCCUGAUGAGAAGAUAACAUACGGGGAUGUGAUGUUGGAGAACUACAGCCAUCUAGUUUCCCUGGCUUAUGAGGUGGCAACAUCUUGUACUUCGGAGAUCUGAAGCCGAGCAACUUGCCCAAGUCCUUCUUCUUUUCCCAUUAACAAGAUAUGAUAUCACCAAGCCAAACGUCAUCAUUAAGUUGGAGCAGGGAGAGGAGCUGUGGAUAACGGGAGGUGAAUUUCCAUGUCAACAUAGUCCAGCAUUUAUUUGAAAGAUAAACCUCUUGGAUGUGACUCUGGAGACAAGACCAGCAGCUCGAGACCAUUCAAUCCAAGGUAUAAAAUGGGAGAAAAUCAGCUCCAUCAUGGUCUGAAUUGAGGAUGAGGCAGAAGAGCAGAGAAUAGCGGAUGCCCAGGUGGCAGCAACUUAACUCUUUUCCUGUGGACUUGCGGGGUCUCCCCACCUCCACUGCGUCGGGACAUGCCGUGUGCCGUCUCUUUAUCCAUAGCUGCCUCCGGCAUCAGCAGAGAAAGUCAUGGGCAGAUGGAGCCGUGGAUUAGUUCUUUUUUCCAGUCUUCCUUUACUUUAUCUGGAUAAGAUUGGGCAGAUUGAAUUUGAUCUUCUAUACUGGGG
rnacentral:lncRNA from 1 species